AGGGAAAGCACCUGAAAUAUACCACCCAGUGUCAGUGGAAAAAGCACAGGCCAGUCAAUGAUGUGCAAAGGAGACGGCUUAUCUUAAAUAUGAAAAUGAUUUUGAUCUACAUGAUCAUCGCAGCUCCAGCAGUGACCGCUGUGGCACAAGGGUCUUUGGAAUGCAAUCUAACUGAACCGGGAGUCCAGAAGUGUUUUGGAGUUUUAGGAAAACCAUUCAGUUUUUACCUACCCACUGACCCGCAUACAAAGACAAGACUGGAAAAGAAUGCAAGCAUCAUUUUAACAUUUAAAAAUUAUUCAUUCAUUAGCAUAAAUGAAAAAUACAAGAAUCAUACUGAAU